rnacentral:lncRNA from 1 species
CCCUGUUCAAAGCACAGGAGGAAAGAGGGAUCGGACCAGAUGCGGGUCUUCGACAAAGAAAACCCCAGAACUGCAAACCCACGACGGACUGGCAUCCCGUCCCGCGGGCACCCGGGAUGGGCGCCGCACCACCCUGACCCUCGUUCGGAGGAAUUCAACGCGACGACCGCGAGCGAGCCACCGUCGCACUGCAAUUUCAGAUUCCGUGCUUCUAUAAAAGGAGAGCGCCGAAACACGCUAGGUUGCCAACAAUCCUGCUGGCGGUUCGAGGCCAGUCUGAGCCUGUCUGGUGGCUCUCGUGAGCGCUGCGUGCUGCUACAUUGAGAGCACGCGAAGGGCCUAAUCCCCAGUAUACCUGACAAAUUACUGACAUCCUUGCAUAACAGAGCCGUGCAGUCCAGGAACACGUAUAUGAUCUCACACACACACACACACACACACACACACACACACACACUACCUGGUAAUAAUUAGAGGUAUGCACAUUCCAAAACGCACAGAGUGCAUACUUUGAAUGGCGAAGGGCACCACGAUCCAGCGGUUAACGUUCAUAAUCGCUCGCGUUGCGGGAGCCAGAACUCGGCACGAAUUCAUUCCUGCGGCUUUGCGAGCCGAGAAGGAAAUAAGAUGCGAGCAUCGGACCCGGAAAUCGGCUCACCGGAUGGAACGCGGCACGGCGCACGAGGUCACGCGGCUCGGCUCGGCUCGCGACGGAGACCCCGAGAGCGAAACGGCCGAGGAGCUCGCCGCAUGACCCCCGACCCCCGACCCCCAUUCUGUCCCGACCGCAGCCUGUUCGGAUCACUGGAGACCACAAGCAGAGCUGGUUAUAGAGAGAAGCCCCUUCUUGAGGGAACAUCGGAGCGACACGGUGCACCGUCCAUCUCGAACCCAUCACUGUCCAGCCAAGGUUACUGUGUCUCAAUGUUAUAUCCAAUAUAUAUUGGUAUGGGUAUCUCUAAGGGGCGGCACAGCAGCACAGCGAGUAGCGCUGCUGUCUCACAGCACCUGGAUGGUACGGUAGGAGGUGGGUUCGAUCCCCGCUCAGUCUGCGCAGGUGUGUAUGUUCUUCCUAUGUCUGUGUGGGUUUCCUCUGAGUGCUCUGGUUUCCUCCCACAGUCCAAAGACAUGCUGUUCAGGUUCACCCAUAGCGUGUGAGUGACAGAGAGAGUGUGUUCCACUGAUGUAUGGAUGAGUGACCCAAUGCAAAUAGUGUAUCUAGCAGUGUAAGUCACCCCGGCGAAUAAGGCGUGUGGGCUGAUAACACAACAUAGUGUUCAUUGGAAGUCACUUUGGAGAAAAAAGUCUGCUAAAUAAAUGUAUGUAAAUGUGACGUUAAAUUGGUUUU